rnacentral:lncRNA from 1 species
UGUGCCCACGGCCCCGGGCAGGCUGCCUCACGCUCGCCUCACCCGGUGCCUGGGGGCUGACGGCAGCGGGCAGGCCGACUGGGCCGGCUGGGACACCGUGCGGGCGGCGGGGACGCUGCUGUCGCGGCGGAGUCGUGUGAAGGCAGAGGGGCCUGGGUGGCGAGGCUCCAGGGCCUGGACCCCUGGGCGGCCGGGCCUGGCGGGGCGGCAGGGGCAGCCAGGCCCCUCGGCCGCGGGCUCGCCCAGGAGACGGCGGGGUCAACGUUUUGAAGGGGUGGGCCUCUCAAGCUGGCCGAGCUGGGCCGGACAGUGUGGCCUGCAGCCAGUGUGCUCCCCACACCUCCGGUCCUGGCUGAGCCAGCUCCCCCGGCUCCCGAGUGGUGCUGCUCUGCCCAGGCCCACCACCGCCCAGCCGGCCCCCCAGGACCGUGGCAGGGCGGCCGCUGCGUCUGUGGGCCUGGGGACUGGGCAGGAGUUCGGGGCGGGGGCGCCUGGCUCUACCCCCAAGGGCCACUCGAGUCCCCUCCGCCCGGCUUCCCUGCCCGGCCCAGAUGUCCACAGUGGCCCUGGGCUCCCGUGUCUGCGGGCGCCGCCCCGCCCCGCCGCAGCCAGACAAAUCCCUUUCCUCCUCCGCAGCUCUGCAGAACCAGGUUGGAAUUUCUCAAAAGCAAACAGCUCAGAGCUGUGGUUUUGGGAGCCGAGAUUCCUCCUGUCUUGUCUGAGGCAGCAUCAGGCAGGCUGGACGGGGCCCACGGCCGAGCCCCUGGGACCCCACGAGGACCGGCCCGGGGCUGCAGCCCGCGCUUGGGCAGAGAGGACCCCAGAUGUGGACAGAGCCUGCUGCGGGGCCGCCCGCGGGCCGCCGGCUCCGUGGACACAGCCUGUUCUCUGCGAGAGGGCUGCCCCGCGACAUGUGGCCCCAACGCUGUGGCCUCCCAAGCCUGCCUCCCUCAUCCGCAGACCCAGGCCCGGGCGGAGGGGAGUGACCGCGGUAUAGACGGCGGAUGAGGGCAGCCUCAGGCAGCACUGGGGACGGACGUGUCCCCGCUCAGCCUGGGGGGCCCUCGGGGGUCGUUGAGAACCGAUGGCUGACCAAGGGCCC